UACGAGGGGGGCAAGCGUUGUUCGGAAUUAUUGGGCGUAAAGGGCGCGUAGGCGGUGCGGUAAGUCUGAUGUGAAAUCUCCGGGCUCAACUCGGAGUCUGCAUCAGAAACUGCCGUGCUCGAGUGUGGGAGAGGUGAGUGGAAUUCCCUGUGUAGCGGUGAAAUGCGUAGAUAUCGGGAGGAACACCUGUGGCGAAAGCGGCUCACUGGACCACAACUGACGCUGAGGCGCGAAAGCUAGGGGAGCAAACAGG
rnacentral:rRNA from 1 species